UCAGGAGGGCGCGCACGUCGG
rnacentral:misc_RNA from 1 species